GAGUUGUUUUCUCUACUUUAAAGACCCAUUAUUUACAAGAUAUGAAAAUGUUAACACAGGAAGCUGAUGAUUGAAAGCAGUACUACAAAUGAUUUUGAGCUUACUCGUACAGAUGAACAUAACAACCUUCAUGUAAUGACAACCUUCAUCUUUUAGUUUACCAAGUAUAUUCACACAAAUCAGUGCAUACAAAACUGGACAUGUAAUGACAACAGAUGAACACAACAACACAAAUCAAGUAUCUUUAACUUACCUGAUGGCUGAACGUAUGAUGGUCUUCGAUGGUUGUUCUUGUUCGUCGAUUGAUUGCGGCUGAUGGCUGAACGUAUGCUGGUCGAUUGAUGGCUGAACGUAUAUUGAACGUGUUCGUCGAUUGAUGGCUGAACGUAUGCUGGUCGUCGAUGGUUGUUCUUGUUCGUCGAUCGAUUGCGGCUGCUGUAGAGAUCUUUUUAGGGUUUGGACUUUGCACUUUGGAGCGUGAAUUGAAGAAUGAAUUUCAAAAUUAGGAUAUACCCACCCCGCUUCUCACAUGACAUACCUGGUAUAUUUUUUUUAAUUUAAAUUCUUAGCAUGUCAUUAACGGGUCUUAACAGGUUAACGGGUUUUAACCUGUUUAGACACGAAAUUUAAAUAGGUCUUAUCGUGUCGACCUGUUUAGACACGAAACCUGUUAAGGUCAAACACGAAACCUGUUAACUUCGUGUAGGUUCGUGUCGUGUUAUCGUGUUCGUGUCAGAAUUGCCGGCCCUAAUAUUUAGAUUUAUUAGGUUUAAAAAUUUUUAAUUUUUGUAUACUAACAAUUAACAACAUUUAAUAAAUAAUAGAUCAAAAUUUGUGGGAAAAUUUUCGCUAGUUGCGACAACUUUACCACAUAUUUGGAAUUAGUUUUUAAAAUUAUUUUUUAUACUAACAAUAUCAUGAGUUAUUAAUAAAAAAAUAAUGUUUUGUGGGAAUAUUGUCGCAAGUUGUGACAACUUUGCCACGAUUUUGGACUUUAUAGUUUGUAAAAUUGUUUUUUUAUCUUAUAAACAAAUAACAUUAGUUAAUAAAUAAAAAAUGUUUUGUGGGAAAAACGAAGCAAAAUGCGACAACCUUGCCACACAUUUUUUAUUUUUCUAGUUUUUUUUAGUAUGCUUAUUUAUUGUACUAACAAUUAACAAAAACUGUUAAAUAUAAAUUAAAUUUUGUGGGAAAAUUGUGGCAAGUUGGUACAAAUUUGCCACGAUUUUGGAUAUUUUUUAGUUUUACAAAUUAUACUAAC
rnacentral:lncRNA from 1 species